CAUAAAUCUCGGGAGUAGUGGGGGGAUAGCAGUCAACUUUUAAACUUUUUAUUAACCUGAUAUCUGCUAAUGAAACACGAAGAGGAUCAUCUUCAACCUUAGCCGAUUCGGAUCUCACGACACGUCAAAUGACUGCCUACGGUUUUUGAGACAAUCAAAUGCAGAUCUUCUGGUAACUUCUACUCAAAGACACCAACGCUGCGAUUUGCAGUCUUUAUGACUUCAAUGAGUCACCCAGUCCUGUCUUGCUAUGUGGAAUAUGAUUGUAUGUUUUUAAGAAUGUCAACAGAUGUGUUUUCUGUUCAUGAACCUCAUCUCGGGCCUUGGAUAAAGGGGCCAUUUUGAAAUGGAAUCACAGCUGCUUUUGGCCUCAGGAUGCGGCUCAGAGAAGUCUAUCCAUGCAAGGUGUGACUGGCCUUUUAGGAGGCAGGGUGAGGUUCUGGAAGGAAUGGAGAGUGACCUCUGUGACAAGAUGACUCCGGUAUCUGUGUCACUUGUAGGAAAGUUGAAGUCUUUCUGAAUGAUGGAUGUCUCUGCGAACAUCUGUGCUAACAGUGUCCAAGAGGUCAAGUGCCAGGCCUUAAACUCUAGCACCUGUGCUAGAGCCAACCCCAAACUGUGGGCCAACCUAUUUCGUGGGCCAUUGGGCUUUUGAGAAAAGACUGACAAUUUACAUCUUUGCAUUUAUUUUCAAAAUUGCAAUGUCUUUAGGCAAGGGCUCCCCAGAAGCAAACCCCAUUGCAGUAGCAGAGUGUAGAGUUAUUUCCUGGAGUUAUGAUCCAGGAGCCAUCAACUCUCACCAGCUCCCAAGCUGGGAGUGGAGGAUCCUGAGCCCAUUCUGAUUCACGCUAGAAUAUUGGCUGGCUUGGUCAUGACCUCAUGUGGGUCUUUCGAAGGCAAUCACGGGCUCUGUGAGUUCAGGGGUGUAGCAGUCCACUCUGUUUUGCAGUGUCCUCCCAGACCUCUGGCUUUCUACCAUCUUUUCAUCUUCUCUUCUGCAAUGAUUCCUGUGUGAGCACAAUAUAUGCCCCCCGCCAUGUGUGUGUGAUAUAGAUGUCCCAUUUGAGGCUGAAUAUUCCGUAGACAUGUAUUGAGAGUGUAUUUUACAUUGGUCCUAUUUUACUAGAGAGCCCAAAGCCUGACUAAGCCAGGCAGUCAUUAGGAUCUAGUUUUCAUCUAGCUUGGGAAGAGAAAGAAAUUGAUGGACAGCUCUUUCUUGGACAGCUGAGGACUCUUGGGGGCAGGGUAGACCAGGGCGAAUCAUUCUACCCGAGGAAUGCAUUGCUUUUGUACUUACCCACCAACCCCCAUGUGCCACUGUUGGAGUCUGCUCUGGGCUAUAAACUCUCUGGUGCAUGCUUGCAGGACAGCUCUUUUGCUACAUGCACUAGAAUGUGAGCAACAGAGAGAUACCCGAGACUCCAAGGCAUGCAUGCUGUGAAGGAUGCAAUUCAUUGCUUGAGGUCUUGAGUGAUCCUUUUGCAAAGCAACCGACAAAAUUUGGAGGUAGGUACACUUUAAAGUUUUGUUUAUAGUCUGUCCAAGGACAAAGAAAUGGAUGGACCUGGCCAUCACCAAAAGCCAAUUGGACUGAAGCCUAGGAGAUCCUGUCAUUAGAGAAGUGCCAGCAUGGUAGAGGACUUUUUAAACAUACAGAUUCUGCAAGGCCCAUUGUCUCCUCUUAAGAGUCAUUUCAAUGAAGACCAACAGCCCCGUGCUGGGUGCUGGUGUGUCCCAGAAGACUAAGAUGGAAUCUUUGUCUUUGAGAAUCCAUAGUGUUUCUGGAAAAGAGCCACCCAUACCAUUAGCUAGAUUAUAAACAGUGUAGUCUGGCCGUGCGGAUGAGAGAAAGAAGUGGCACUGACUGCUGGGACACCCGGGGCCUUGGGCUCUAUUUAUCCAGCCAGAACAUUCUAAUGCAGGGCGCAUCCCUGCCUUCCUGAACAAAACCAAAAGCAGCGAGGAGUGCUUUCUUUUAAGAAGGGAAAAGUGGGUGGUGAUGGAAUCAGAGACGGAAACAAGCUGAACAUCUGGAAAGAAGGGCUCUCCGGAAGAACAGCCCCUCCCUCGAGAUCCCACCGGU
rnacentral:lncRNA from 1 species